rnacentral:rRNA from 1 species
AUUGAACGCUGGCGGAAUGCUUUACACAUGCAAGUCGAACGGUAGAGGGGGCAACCCCUCGAGAGUGGCGAACGGGUGAGUAAUAUAUCGGAACGUGCCCAGUCGUGGGGGAUAACGUAGCGAAAGUUACGCUAAUACCGCAUACGAUCUAAGGAUGAAAGCGGGGGAUCGCAAGACCUCGCGCGAUUGGAGCGGCCGAUAUCAGAUUAGGUAGUUGGGGGGGUAAAGGCUCACCAAGCCAACGAUCUGUAGCUGGUCUGAGAGGACGACCAGCCACACUGGAACUGAGACACGGUCCAGACUCCUACGGGAGGCAGCAGUGGGGAAUUUUGGACAAUGGACGCAAGUCUGAUCCAGCCAUUCCGCGUGCAGGAUGAAGGCCCUCGGGUUGUAAACUGCUUUUGUACGGAACGAAAAGGUCUCUCUUAAUACGGGGGACUCAUGACGGUACCGUAAGAAUAAGCACCGGCUAACUACGUGCCAGCAGCCGCAGUAA